rnacentral:ncRNA from 1 species
AACCGGUGCCUGAUCUUCUGCAUCAGGGUAAAAGAGAAACAGGUGAGAUUCCUGUACGAACCCGUCACUGUGAAUGGGGAGCUUGAAGCAAUGCGCAUAUGCGCGGUCACUGGCAAUCGCCGGGAAGGCAGCUUGAAGCGUGCGGAGAUACCGCGUACCCAUAAGCCAGGAAACCUGCCGGUUAUC